CAGAAUGAACGCGGGCGGCGUGGAUUAGGCAUGCAAGUCGAGCGCGAAAGCUUGGGAAACUGAGCGAGUAGAGCGGCGACCUGGUGAGUACAAGGUGGGUAACCUUCCCCGAAGUGGGGGACAACCGUUGGAAACAACGGCUAAUACCGCAUGUGGACCCUGUGGAUUCGUCCUUGGGGUCUAAAGCAGUAAUGCGCUUCGGGAUGGGCCCGCCUCCCAUUAGCUAGUUGGUGAGGUAACAGCUCACCAAGGCGACGAUGGGUAGCUGGUCUGAGAGGAUGGUCAGCCACACUGGGACUGAAAUACGGCCCAGACUCCUACGGGGGGCAGCAGUCUAGAGGCUUCGGCAAUGGGGGAAACCCUGACCGAGCGACGCCGCGUGGAGGAUGACGCCCUUCGGGGUGUAAACUCCUUUCGACCGGGAAAAAGGCCCGGACUUGUUUCGGGAUUGAUGGUACCGGUGGAAGAAGCCACGGCUAACUCUGUGCCAGCAGCCGCGGUAAGACAGAGGUGGCUAGCGUUAUUCGGAUUUAUUGGGCGUAAAGGGCGCGUAGGCGGCCAGGUGCGUCUGGUGUGAAAGCGCUACCGCUCAACGGAGCGAGUGCACUGGAUACGACUUGGCUUGAGUCCGGGAGAGGUGAGUGGAAUUCCUGGUGUAGCGGUGGAAUGCGUAGAUAUCAGGAAGAACACCAGUGGCGAAGGCGGCUCACUGGCCCGGCACUGACGCUGAGGCGCGAAAGCGUGGGGAGCAAACGGGAUUAGAUACCCCGGUAGUCCACGCUGUAAACGGUGGAUACUAGGUGUGGGGGGUAUCGACCCCCUCCGUGCCGCAGGCAACCCAUUAAGUAUCCCGCCUGGGGAGUACG
rnacentral:rRNA from 1 species